rnacentral:lncRNA from 1 species
AAUCUCCUCCUGCUACCUGCUCUACGUCAUCAUGUUCAUCUACGCGCAGCACCUCAGCCGCGGCCUCCCGGAGCCCGCCGUCGACACGCUCCACCCCGGCGCGCUCGUCUUCGCCGUCGGCGUCGCCGGCAACUUCUACCACCACCACCUCCUCUCGAGGCUUCGAACCGACGGCGGUGGCGGCGCCGCCGGCGGCGACAGGGGGUACAAGAUCCCCCGGGGCGGCCUGUUCGAGCUCGUCGCCUGCCCGCACUACCUCUUCGAGAUCGUCGUGUUCGCCGGGCUCGCCAUGAUCGCGCAGACGGCGUUCGCGCUCGCUCUGGCCGUCGGCACGGCGGCCUUCCUCGCCUGCCGGAGCUGCGCCACCAGGAGGUGGUACGCGGCCAAGUUCGAGGAGUUCCCGGCGGGGAUCAGAGCUCUUGUGCCAUAUGUCCUGUAGCGAGAUAGGAGUGGUUGCGCGCUAGUCUUCAAUCUUUAUGCUUGGAGUCGGCGAAAUGGUGUCCAUUUGUUGUUGUGCAAUAGGAUGGGCCUUGCUAGUACGCUCCUCCUGGGUCUUAUGCACACAACUUCUACAGUUCUACUUAUAACUUCUCCGGAUUAUUGAAACUGGAAUAGCUUUUCUGAAUAACAUUCAACAUAACUCCCAGGGGAAUGUUGUCAUGAAACUUUUUAAGAGGAAACUUAUUUUUGGAAACUUUUCUGGGGCGUUUGGUUCCCUUUGCUUAUUUUUAUCACGUGUCACAUCAAAUGUUUAGAUACUAAUUAGAAGUAUUAAACGUAGAUUAUUUACAAAAUCCAUUACAUAAGUGGAGGCUAAAUGGCGAGACGACUCUAUUAAACCUAAUUAAUCCAUCAUUAGCAAAUGUUUACUGUAGCAACACAUUAUCAAAUUAUGAACUAAUUAGGCUUAAUAGAUUCGUCUCACCGUUUAGCCUCCACUUAUAUAAUGGGUUUUGUAAAUAUUCUACGUUUAAUACUCCUAAUUAGUAUCUAAAUAUUCGAUAUGACGGGUGCUAAAAAUAAGUCAGCGGAACCAAUCGGAGCCAAAUGACCUGUGCACGUAACUUCGCCGAAGCGAGCAGCCAAACCUAGCAACUAUCUCUGACUCGCUGUACGGCUGGCCUAUAAAAAUGAUGGUGUGACAGCGAUCGAAGGAGAAACGCGUCGUGAGAACCAGAUUGCCGUUGAGGCGUUGUCUUCAGGAUUCUCGGCGCAGAAAAAAAAAACAAAUACAAUACGUGCUGUCCACCUCGUGCGUUGCAAGCAUCGAAGACAACCGGCCGGAGGACUACAGCCUUUUUGCACGAGGCGGCCCAAAGGCACGGCACCGCCGCCGGCCGGCUCAACGCUCCACCUCCGUGUGCCCGUCAGCCCGGCGACGUCCUCCUCCGAAGCCGCAUCAAUAAAGAGACCCCGCGCCCUCGGAUUCGCCGGCGAUGACGACGGUUAGCUCGCCGGCCGGCGAGUACAAGAUCCUCGUCCAGCACCGCGCGUUCGCACCGGCCGUUUGCACGGGCGAUAAGAACGCCGACACGGCAGACGUCAGGCAGGACGUCUGGAAUAGGCGGAGUUGCGAGAAAAUAUUGUACGGAAUAAACUGUGCCCGCGCGUGGUUCAGCGGAUCAGCAAAGUACGAUUUGCUAUGGCAGCAAGCUCGCGUUCACACGCGCGCGCUACUGUUCUUCGCUGACCUUGCGGCCAUGCCGCGGCCGCUGCAUUUUUUUUAUUCUUUUUUUUUUAUCGCGUUCACUCCAUCCCGCGUUCGUGGCUCGGCCAGCUUACGCCGCGUCGCUAUCGGAAAACUAUAUAAUACCCGCCUCGUGCUUCGCCCCUCUGAUCCCCACCACCACCUCAUCCCAAUCGCCGUCUGCUUCUCUCCUCAGCUUCUCCUCCGUCCGUCGAGUGCCUCGCCGAUCCCCUCAGUCAUGGCGAUGUUGUGGCCGUCGCCGCCGUUCCUGUACGCGCCGUCACCGGUCGUGGCGUCGCUGACGGCGGCGUGCGCCGCCACGCUGGCCUUCCUGGCGAUCUCCGAGUUCCGCGGCGCGAACCUGCGCUACUCCAAGUUCGGCGGCCGCGCCAAGAAGGGCGCCGGCGGCGGCGGCGGCGGCGGCGGCGCGCUCCUCCUGCCGAGCCGCGUCGGGAUGCUCGUCAUCUACGCCCCGGCGCUCGCCGCCGCGCUCGCGUCCUUCUUCGUGCCGGGCGCCGUCGAAGGCGCCCGCGCGCGGAUCCUCGCCGCCGCCGUCGCCGUGCACUUCCUCAAACGGGUGCUCGAGGUAAUGAUCAAAUUCAAAUCCACUCUCCUACUCUUAGAAUUAGAACACAAAACUACGCUAAACGCUGGGCUGUUAGGAUAUGGAUUUCAUACAAAACGCAAUAUUUUUCGCAGGAAUCGAAUGAUAUUCACACGAAUAAGCAUCUUGUAUUUGCUUAACAAAUACUGUUUGUCCUCUCUCCGCUCAGGUGCUGUUCGUGCACCGGUACAGCGGGAGCAUGCCGCUGGGCACGGCCCUGCUGAUCUCCUCCUGCUACCUGUUCAACGGCAUGGCCAUGAUCUACGUGCAGCACCUCAGCCACGGCCUGCCGGAGCCCGCCGUCGACCUGCUGUACCCCGGCGUGCUCGCCUUCGCCGUCGGCAUCGCCGGCAACUUCUACCACCACCACCUCCUCUCGAGGCUCCGAGCCGACGGCGGCGACAAGGGGCACUACAAGAUCCCCCGGGGCGGCCUGUUCGAGCUCGUCACCUGCCCGCACUACCUCUUCGAGAUCAUCGGGUUCUUCGGGUUCGCCAUGAUCUCGCAGACGGCGUACGC